GACGAACGCUGGCGGCGCGCUUAACACAUGCAAGUCGAACGGAAAGGCCUGCUUUCCCUUGUGGAUUGCGGGUACUCGAGUGGCGAACGGGUGAGUAACACGUGAGUGAUCUGCCCCCAACUUGGGUAUAAGCCUGGGAAACUGGGUCUAAUUCCCGAUAGGACUGCAGGGUGGUGCCUGUGGUGGAAAACGAUUUUCUAGUGGUUGGGGAUGAGCUCGCGGCCUAUCAGCUUGUUGGUGGGGUAAUGGCCUACCAAGGCGGCGACGGGUAGCCGGCCUGGGAGGGUGGACGGCGACAUUGGGACUGAGAUACGGCCCAGACUCCUACGGGAGGCAGCAGUGGGGAAUAUUGCACAAUGGGCGGAAGCCUGAUGCAGCGACGCCGCGUGGGGGAUGACGGCCUUCGGGUUGUAAACUCCUUGCGACCGCGAGGAAGCCACCUGGUUGGAAGGGUGGUGACGGUAGUGGUAGAAGAAGCACCGGCUAACUACGUG
rnacentral:rRNA from 1 species